rnacentral:lncRNA from 1 species
AAAAAAAAAAAAAAAAAAGCUUAAAUGUACGAAUAUAUAUAAAAAAAAUAUUAAUGUACGAAUAUAUAAAAAAUAUAUAAAUGUGCGAACAUGUAAAACGUACAAAAAGCAUAAAACGCAGAAAAUUUAUAAAAAAUACCUUUUAAUCUUUUAAUUAAUUUUUAAGUUUGAACGAAAUUAUUUUUAAUUUUAAUUUUUUUUUUUAUUUGUCAAAAUAAUAUAAUUAAAUUUAUAAAUAUAACAUGUUCGAUAUUUAGCACACACCUUUAAGUGUUUCAUUAAAAAAUAUAAGCUUAUACAUUGUCAUUAUAAUUGUUCAUAAGUUAAAAAAAAAGUAUAAAACGAAGAAAAAAAAGAAAAAAAAACUUAAUAAACACAAUUUUAUGUGUUUUAUUUUUAUUUUUUUUAUUUUUAUUUAGCAUUGCAUGAACCACUUCAAAUUACCUUACAUUUACCUUUCGUAUUUACAAUUUCCUAUAUAUUCCAUUUUGGUUACUUCUUUACUUUUUUUUUUUGUUAACUAUUUAUUUUUGACGAGAUUAAAAAAAAAAAAAAAAGGUAAUGUUAUAAUGGUAGUUAUUGCAGUGAAUAAGAUGUUUUUGUUGAAGAGUCAAAUAAAUUACCAUGUUACAAGUAAAAUAAAAUACAUGUCUAAAAGAAAAAUUGCAGGUGUCAAAUUUUUAGAUUCAAACAGAAAAGCUGAUGAAUCUAUUCAUUUUAAAAAAGAAGAUGAAAUAUUAUUAAAAAACUUACUGAAAAAAAAUCCUGACAUCAACCCAGAUUAUGACUUAUCCGAAUCAGAACAUGUGAUGGAUAAUUUAUCACAAGACCUAGCCCUCGUGUUUUCAAAGUAUGGAUUAAAGGCCUUAGAUAAUGGCGAUGCCAUAAGAGACGUUAUAAAAGUGUUUGAAUUAAACGGAUAUAAAAAAUCGUUAGAUCAGUGACUAUCUAUAUACAUAUAUAUAUACAUACAAGUACAUUUUUUUGACUAUUUGGAAAGGACAUGUAAGAGUGUAUAUAUAUAUAUAUAUGUAUGUAUGUAUGUAUGUUUACAUACGAAUGAAUUAAACAUAGUUUAAACUAAGCUCAAUAAAAAGAAUAAUUUUUUUUUAAAUUAAAACCGU